rnacentral:rRNA from 1 species
GGUUUGACGGUACCUAUAAAGGAAGCACCGGCUAACUCCGUGCCAGCAGCCGCGGUAAUACGGGGGGUGCAAGCGUUGUUCGGAAUUAUUGGGCGUAAAGCGCGUGUAGGCGGUCUGAUUAGUCUGAUGUGAAAGCCCUGGGCUCAACCCAGGAAGUGCAUUGGAUACUGUCAGACUUGAAUACRGGAGAGGGUAGUGGAAUUCCUAGUGUAGGAGUGAAAUCCGUAGAUAUUAGGAGGAACACCGGUGGCGAAGGCGGCUACCUGGACCGAUAUUGACGCUGAGACGCUAAAGCGUGGGUAGCAAACAGGAUUAGAUACCCUGGUAGUCCACGCCGUAAACGAUGAGAACUAGGUGUCGCGGGUA